AGCCUGAUCCAGCAACGCCGCGUGAGGGAUGACUGCCUUCGGGUUGUAAACCUCUUUCAGCACCGACGAAGCGAGAGUGACGGUAGGUACAGAAGAAGCACCGGCCAACUACGUGCCAGCAGCCGCGGUAAUACGUAGGGUGCGAGCGUUGUCCGGAAUUAUUGGGCGUAAAGGGCUCGUAGGCGGUUUGUCGCGUCGGGAGUGAAAACUCAGGGCUUAACUCUGAGCUUGCUUCCGAUACGGGCAGACUAGAGGUAUGCAGGGGAGAACGGAAUUCCUGGUGUAGCGGUGAAAUGCGCAGAUAUCAGGAGGAACACCGGUGGCGAAGGCGGUUCUCUGGGCAUUACCUGACGCUGAGGAGCGAAAGUGUGGGGAGCGAACAGGAUUAGAUACCCUGGUAGUCCACACCGUAAACGUUGGGCGCUAGGUGUGGGGCCUAUUCCAUGGGUUCCGUGCCGCAGCUAACGCAUUAAGCGCCCCGCCUGGGGAGUACGGCCGCAAGGCUAAAACUCAAAG
rnacentral:rRNA from 1 species